UCUAAUCUGGGUCACAGAACGGUUAAGGCAGCUCUAAGUGGAGGGCAGGGUUUGUUUUAUAUUUUCCUUUCUCUGUUUGCCCUUAGCUUUCCACCAUGAAACUGUGUUGUGGACUCUUUCUCCUGGUGACUACUAUUCAUGUUGAACUCUGUGAAUCAGAAGAGAAGAUUAGGACACAAGUACAGAGAGGGAAGACAUGUGAAGAGAGGAAAGCCAUUGACUAGCCAAAGAAAGAGCCCUCAGAAGAAAUCAACCCUCUCCACACCGUGAUCUUGUACUUCUAUCCUCCAGAAUGGAGAACUGCUGGUAGCCACAUUCUGUUCUAGGAAACAUUUCCAGAAUGGCUGGACCCACAGACACCCCCUGCACUGCCUGGGAUUCCAAUUCUCUGCAUCUUUACCAGCAUUUGUUGCUAUUGUACUUUUUAAUUUUUAGCUACCUGAAGAGCUUAAAUGAGUAGCUCAUUUUAAAAAAUCUUUACAUUGUCUGAUUAUUAAUAAGGGCAAAACCAUGAAUAAUUCACAUGCUACGGCAUUCUACAAAACUGGGGACAAUACUUUGGCCAAGCAUGCACUUCAUUUUGUUCAUCUCUGUAUCUUGGGAAUGUUUUAAACACACCAUUUUGGGAGAACAAGCUUGACUGUUUCUGCCAGUAGAGGUCACUGUCCCUCAGCGGUUCUCCACUAAUGUGUUUCUGUGUUCCCUCCCUCCCUCCCUUC